CGGAAGCCUGGCCCCGAGCGCUGUGCGGGGCGCCCGGGGACGCUCAGCGAGUGUCUGUCCCAGCCCUGAGCUCAGUGAAAGAUUGCAGAGUCCUGGGCCCACGAGGUCCUGCUCUGUUUUGAUGAGGGAACAUCAGAUAUGCUUCCUGUGCUGAACACCCUCUCAAGAGUAAAAGCCUCAGCCAUCCUGGUGGCCUCCCAAACCUGAAGGAUCCCCAGUGACCUCUGGCCUCAUCUCUGGAUGAUGCCCUGUCCUUCCCCCAGGCUGUUUCCCAAGCCCACCUAGCAGCCCUGAUGUCCUUCUCUAUCUGCCUGGUGUCCCCGCUUCACCAGGACUUCAUAUAAAGUCAGAUCUUCAGAAAGGACUUCUCUGUUAUUCCUACAAAAUCUGCAGUUCCUCCCCUGUCUCUGAAUCCCUCACUUGGCCUGCAGUCUAACUAUACUGAACUAUAAACUAAGACUUCUGAGAGUUAGUGACA
rnacentral:lncRNA from 10 species